rnacentral:rRNA from 1 species
CAGACGGCUGGGUCGCUGCUGACGCUCAGGCACGAAAGCAUGGGUAGCGAACGGGAUUAGAUACCCCGGUAGUCCAUGCCCUAAACGAUGUGUACUAGGUCGAGGAGGUUUUGACGCCAUCUCGGCCGCAGCGAAAGCAUUAAGUACACCGCCUGGGGAGUACGGUCGCAAGGCUAAAACUCAAAGGAAUUGACGGGGGCUCACACAAGCGGUGGAGCAUGUGGCUUAAUUCGAGGCAACGCGAAGAACCUUAUCCUGGGUUUGACAUGGACGGAUUAGGCCCCCGAAAGGGGGUUCGACGCUCUCACGAGUGGAACGUUCACAGGUGCUGCAUGGCUGUCGUCAGCUCGUGCUGUGAAGUGUCGGGUUAAGUCCCUUAACGAGCGAAACCCCUGCCGUUAGUUGCCAGCAUUCAGUUGGGGACUCUAACGGGACCGCCGGUGUCAAACCGGAGGAAGGUGGGGACGACGUCAAGUCAUCAUGGCCUUUAUGCCCAGGGCUGCACACGUGCUACAAUGGCAUGGACAGAGCGAAGCGAUACGGCGACGUGGAGCAAAUCGCACAAACCAUGCCCCAGUUCGGAUUGUAGUCUGCAACUCGACUACAUGAAGUUGGAAUCGCUAGUAAUCGCGUAUCAGCUACGACGCGGUGAAUAAGUUCCUGAGCCUUGUACACACCGCCCGUCACGUCAUGGGAGCCGGGAGCACCCGAAGUGGCAGCGCCUCAGCUGUCCCUACGGUGAACUCGGUGACUGGGACGAAGUCGUAACAAGGUAGCCGUAGGGGAACCUGCGGCUGGAUCACCU